CUGCUUUCUUUACUGCUGCAUCCCCGGGAACCCUAACAGCACCUGGAAUUAAUGAGCAUGCAAUGUGUACUUGCCGAGCAGAUGUGAAUGAAUUACUUUGAAACUGACGCCAAAGGGCACCAUCAACACAGAGACAAUCUUUAGAGCAUCGUUGGACUGUGCCUAAACUGCAAAUUCUUGGAAUCACCCUGCUGGUGCUGGCCUUGUCACAAAGCACAGCCUGGGAAAGGAGCAUUCCAGAAGAGUAUGUCAGUGAACCCACCAGGGGGCACUAUGUGACCAGAAAAUAACCCCAAAACACCAGCGGUUGCAUUAAAUUCCAUUCUGUUAAUGAA